rnacentral:rRNA from 1 species
AGGAAUACAUCGGAAUUUGCCCAGUCGUGGGGGAUAACGUAGGGAAACUUACGCUAAUACCGCAUACGACCUAACGGUGAAAGCGGGGGAUCAGCAAUGACCUCGCGCGGAUGGAUAAGCCGAUGUCGGAUUAGCUAGUUGGCGGGGUAAAGGCCCACCAAGGCGACGAUCCGUAGCUGGUCUGAGAGGAUGAUCAGCCACACUGGGACUGAGACACGGCCCAG